UACGAAGGGGGCUAGCGUUGCUCGGAAUUACUGGGCGUAAAGCGCACGUAGGCGGCUUCUUAAGUCGGUGGUGAAAUCCUGGAGCUCAACUCCAGAACUGCCUUCGAUACUGGGAAGCUCGAGUCCGGGAGAGGUGAGUGGAACUGCGAGUGUAGAGGUGAAAUUCGUAGAUAUUCGCAAGAACACCAGUGGCGAAGGCGGCUCACUGGCCCGAUACUGACGCUGAGGUGCGAAAGCGUGGGGAGCAAACAGGG
rnacentral:rRNA from 1 species